GGAGAUUGAGGCUAUGCUACACGAAGUAGCCCAAACAGCAUACGAAAGGCCUGAUAUUGUUGAUCGAGUAUUCCACAUAAAGCUCAAGGAGUUCACGAGAGAUAUAAGAGAAAGGGAAUACUUCGGAAAAACACUCGCAAGUAAUAUAUCAUACUGACUUUAUCAAACGUCUUAUUUAAUUGCCUGAACUAACUGUUAUUUUAUAAAAUUGCAGUUAUAUACACAAUAGAGUUUCAAAAAAGGGGCCUCCCACAUUCCCACAUAGUCAUAUUCCUCGACAAAAAGGAAAAGAAACACAAGUAUCCAGAGCCAUCAAAGGUAGAUAGAGUAACUUGCGCAGAGAUACCAGACAAGGAAAUUGACCCAGAAGGAUAUGCAGUUGUGGAAAACUACAUGAUGCACGGGCCAUGUGGUGCAGCAAACACGAAGUCACCAUGCAUGGUCAACAACAGAUGCAUAAGAAAGUUCCCCAAAAAAUACAACAACAAUACCACUGUCGAUGAAGAUGGAUACCCAGUAUAUAGAAGACGAGAUGAUGGAAGAUUCAUACAGAAAGGGGAAGUAAAGUUGGAUAACAGAUACGUAGUCCCGUAUAACAGAAAUCAACUGGUGAAAUAUCAAGCACAUAUAAAUGUCUAGGUGUGCAACAGAUCUUUAUCCAUAAAAUACCUUUUUAAAUACAUAAAUAAAGGUGAUGACCAAGCAACAGCACUAAUAGAAAACGAUGAGAUAAAAAGGUACCUAGAAUGCACAUAUAUAACAGGGAAUGAUGUGUGUUGGAGAAUAUUUCAAUUCGAAAUGCACUUCAGAGAUCCUUGCAUCGAAAGGUUGCCUUUCCACCUGGAAAAUGAGCAACAAGUAAUUUUCUCAGAUUCUACAGAUUUAACCAAGAUCGUCAGGAAAGAAAGAGUAGGAAUCACUAAAUGUACACAGUGGAUGGAGACAAACAAGAUGUGUGAAGAAGCCAGAGAAUUAACAUAUGCAGAAUUCCCGUCAAAAUGGGUGUGGAAAAAGAAAGAGACAAAGUGGACCAAAAGGAAGAAAGGAAGAUCAGUUGGAAGGAUAUAUUAUGCCCAUCCAGCAAGCGGACAAAAAUACUAUAUGCGAAUGCUACUUAACGUCAAGAAAGGAUGCACAUGUUUUGAAGACAUAAGAAAAGUAAAUGGAGUUGUCCACGCAUCAUACAAAUCUGCUUGUGAAGCACUAGGAUUUCUUGAUGAUGACAAAGAGUGGCUUGAGUGCAUCAAGGAGGCAUCAAAUUGGGCGACUGGCAACCAGCUAAGGCAGCUAUUCACAACAAUUUUAAGCCACUGCGAAGUCACAAGCCCAAAAAAACUGUGGGAAUCAUGCUCGGAGGUAUUAAGCGAAGGCAUGGAGUAGAAACAGAGAAAAUUAUUGAACUAUCCUACACUGUGCCUCACAGCAUCACAGAAGCAAGGACACGCCUUGGUGGAAAUAUAGAAGCUCAUGAGACAAGCUGGAAGAACACUUAAGGAAUACCCCGGAAUAGAACUUCCACAUUCUUUGGAAAUAAAGGAACUUGAAAACAAGCUACUAAAUGAAGAAAUUAAUUACAACAAAGAGCAGCAAAAAGAAGAGCAUUUGAAGAUCUUUGGUAGUCUCAACUAUGAACAACGUCUUGCAUUUGACUAAAUAGUGGAAUCUGUUGACAAUGAUUUUGGAAAACAAAUUUUUGUGGAUGGAUAUGGUGGGACAGGUAAGACAUUCCUAUGGAAGGGGAUCACAACAAAGUUGCGUUCUGAAGGAAAGAUAGUACUAGCAGUUGCAUCAUUUGGUAUUGCAGCACUGCUUCUAGAAGGAGGGAGAACAGCACACUCGAGGUUCCACAUUCCACUAAUCCUUACAGAAGAGUCAACAUGUGACAUCAAACAGGGUUCACACUUGGCAGAACUACUGAAAAAGACGUCGCUGAUACUAUGGGAUGAAGCUCCAAUGGCAAACAAGAUAUGUUUUGAGGCGCUAGAUAGGACUCUAAGGGAUAUAUUAAGAAAUAAAAGUGUGAACAGCAGUGACAGGCCAUUCGGUGGCAUGACAAUGGUUCUAGGAGGGGACUUCCGCCAGAUCCUUCCUGUUAUACCAAAGGGGAGAAGACACAACAUAGUCAUUGCAUCCAUUAAAAGAUCUUACCUUUGGAAGAACUUUCAGGUAAUGAAGCUAACAAAGAACAUGCGGCUGAACUGCACAACAAAUGAUGAAUCCGAGAAACAAAAGAUAGCAAAAUUUGCAGAGUGGAUUAUCAAUAUCGGCGAUUAUCAAUAUCAGUGAUGGAAAAAAUACAUCAUCAGAAGGCGAGGAAUUGAUAAAAAUACCAAAUGACAUACUUCUCAAGAAAGGAAAUGAUCCUAAAAAAACAGUUGUGGAGAGCAUAUAUCCCAAUUUGCUGGAGAGGUAUCGCCAACGAGAAUACUUAGAGGAAAGAGCAAUGUUAUGUCCAAGAAAUGAAACAGUUCGCGAUAUAAAUGAGUAUAUAAUGGUUCAGAUACAAGGUGAAGAUAGAACUUAUCUAAGCUGUGACACAGUAUGCAAAGCAACUACCUUUAAUGCAGAAACAGAAUUAUUAUAUCCAACGGAAUUCCUGAAUAGCUUACCAUUUCCUGGAAUCCCAAAUCACGAGCUGAAAUUAAAAGUCGGCAUACCUGUGAUGCUACUACGUUAUAUCAACCAAAGUGCUGGGUUGUGCAAUGGUACAAGGAUGACGAUUACUCAGCUUGGAUGAAGAUUCAUUGAAGCACAGAUAAUAACUGGAAGCCAUGUGGGAGAAAAGGUAUAUGUUCCAAGAAUAGUGAUGUCAGUUUGCUUUGCUAUGACUAUCAACAAGAGCCAGGGACAAUCUCUAAACAGAGUAGGACUAUAUCUGCCUAAACAAGUUUUCACACAUGGACAGUUAUACGUAGCCUUCUCAAGAGUAACAAAAAGGGAGGGACUGCGGGUAAUGGUAGAUGAUGAAGAUAGCAAUGAGGAUGAUGUGGUCAAGAACAUAGUAUAUACAGAAAUAUUCUGAAGGUAUGAACAAAUAACAGAAUUUCAGCAUGAUGUUUCUUUAACUAGAUGAGGUAUUACUAUUACGUAAGAAUUACAUAUAUAGGAACUUACUACACUGCAAAAUCUAUUACAAAUAGAGUCUGACUUAACUAUGCUAACAUGAUAUGGCAGGUCGAAUAUGGUCUACUACACUGCCAAAGUAAUGCAAACAUGCAUCAACAGGUGGAAAUACUACAUUACUACCAAACAUCAAAGAUCUAUAUUAUGUAAUACUUGAUUCUAUAAGCUUAUUAUAUUUCAUAAAAACAAAUACCAAAAGCAUCGGGACGUUGUAAUAUUGCAUAUGUACAAUGCUAUCAAACCUGUUUUCAUAUUCAGCUAUUAUCUAUUAAUUUUUGUACGCGUCGAAACGGUUCAUUACUACCAAACAUCGACAAAAUAUAAUAUCUAAUGUUUUAUUGUACAAGCUUAGUAUUUCAUGCAAACCAAUAGUGAAAGCAUGGGAAAAUUAUUAUAAUUCAUAUUAAUAUGCAAUCACACCAGCUUUAAUAUUAAAUUAUUAUAUAUACAAGUAUACUCUGGGAAAUAUUUCAACUAUAGCUAAUCAAAACUCUACAAAUUCUUUGAUAAGUGUGUUCAAUAUUAGUAGGGGUAGGGGGGUCUAACACUGCCAAUGCCGGUCCCAAGCCCGGAAAAAAGUGGAGGGGGCCAAAAACAAACUAACACUACACCUCACAUAUUGGAUGUAAUAACGUCUUAUAUUAUGGGACAGAGUGAGUAUUUCACAUUCACAAAUUACUAUCAUCAACCCAAAAAAAAGAACAACCAAUAUACAUGAUCAUGCAAUGAAUAUAUAUAGUACUAAUUUGCACUGGUGUGUCUGCCCAAAUAUAUAAUUACAUUACUUAAUUUCUAUUUUUUUGGCGGGAUACUUACAUUACAUAUUACUAUCUACACUGUACCAAAUUAAACACUUAAAGAUCACUUAAAAGAGAAAACUAUGCUAACGUGAUACAAGCAACUGUUGGUACAGCAGAGCAAAUGUACUUUUUUACCAAUGAAAACGUGAGUUUUAUUCCACUGAAAUAGGAUUACAGUCGCUAAGACAAAUUCCGAAGCAGAGUUUGCUACACAUCGCACCCAACGAGUAGUGCUACCCCAGAAUGGCCAAAUUUAUAAAACCAUAUUUUCAUUGAGCCCACGUAUCUUAAUUUAAGAAAAUCAAACGCUUGGGAAAGAAAACAACACUACCAUCCUCAUACUAAAGCUAGAUCCAAGAAAAUUGCAAACCUGCGGGAGAUGAAAUCCAUGACCGAAUCAAUUGCACAGAAGACAACAUCAACGGCACCGUGCAGAUCAACAAUCUCGCCUACUCCCUAGCGCAACAGAUCCUUGGGACAUGAUACCCCUCCAACUCCAUUUACCAACCUACAGCAGGUGUACGAGGAGGAAAACUAGCCGCCGUCGAUGAUCUCC
rnacentral:lncRNA from 1 species